rnacentral:rRNA from 1 species
CUACGGGAUGCACCAGUGAGGAAUAUUGCACAAUGGGGGGAACCCUGAUGCAGCAACGCCGCGUGGAGGAUGACGCAUUUCGGUGUGUAAACUCCUUUUAUAUGUCAAGAAAAUGACGGUAGCAUAUGAAUAAGCACCGGCUAACUCCGUGCCAGCAGCCGCGGUAUACGGAGGGUGCAAGCGUUACUCGGAAUCACUGGGCGUAAAGGACGCGUAGGCGGGUUGGAAAGUCAGGUGUGAAAUCCUACAGCUUAACUGUAGAACUGCACUUGAAACUUCUAAUCUAGAGUAUGGGAGGGGGAGAUGGAAUUAGUGGUGUAGGGGUAAAAUCCGUAGAUAUCACUAGGAAUACCUAAAGCGAAGGCGAUCUCCUGGAACAUUACUGACGCUAAGGCGUGAAAGCGUGGGGAGCAAACAGGAUUAGAUACCCGAGAGUC